rnacentral:pre_miRNA from 1 species
UCUUCAUUGUUCGUACUCUCUCAUAGGUCAGAGCGACGAGAGAGCGUGCGAAAUGAAGAGA